CGCUGACUGAUGCUGUUUGUAGAAAAAAACAUUGGAGUUUGGACUAAAUGAAAGGUCAGUCUCAGCCAUCUUCUCGUCAUCAUCUCCAUCUUCUCAUUCUCUGUCUCUCGUUCCACUUUCGGGAAAAACACCAGAAAACCCAUUUCUACGAGCUAAGCUAUGAUGAGGCGCUAUGCUUCAAAGUUUAUUAAUUGGCACUUGGGUUUGAAGAAUUUCAGUUUCUCCAUGGUUGGCUGUGAGGCUGAAUCCUAUUAUGCAUCCAGAAACAGCAAAUGCCAAGGUUUUUUUAGCGGCCAUCUUAAUGGCUCCAUGCCAAAGGCAUAUGCAACUUACUGUGCUAAGUUGCCAGAAGAUCCACAGAGCACUAAUCUCGCUUCUGACAUGUUAAUUGAUUCAUUUGGGAGGAUGCACACUUACUUGAGGAUCUCCUUGACAGAACGUUGCAAUCUACGUUGUCAGUACUGUAUGCCAGCUGAGGGCGUGGAGCUCACUCGUAGUCCUCAAUUGCUCUCGCAGGAUGAGAUUGUUCAUUUGGCAAAUCUCUUUGUGAGCUCUGGAGUAGAUAAAAUUCGUUUGACUGGUGGCGAGCCAACCAUUAGAAAAGAUAUUGAAGACAUAUGCUUACAGCUGUCUAACUUGAAAGGACUAAAGACCUUGGCCAUGACAACCAAUGGAAUCACUCUUGCGAGAAAACUUCCAAAGCUGAAAGAAUGUGGACUUACUUCUCUAAAUAUCAGCUUAGACACAUUAGUCCCGGCAAAAUUUGAAUUUUUGACUAGGCGGAAAGGGCAUGAAAGAGUUAUGGAUUCAAUUAAUGCUGCUAUUGACUGUGGGUACAAUCCAGUAAAAGUGAACUGUGUGGUGAUGCGCGGGUUUAAUGAUGAUGAGAUUUGUGAUUUUGUGGAGUUGACACAUAACAAACCAAUUAAUGUUCGGUUCAUUGAGUUCAUGCCUUUUGAUGGAAAUGUUUGGAAUGUCAAGAAACUAGUUCCUUACUCGGAAAUGCUGGAUAGAGUGGGAAAACAGUUUCCUAGCCUAAAGAGGCUGCAGGAUCACCCUGCUGAUACGGCCAAGAACUUCAGGAUAGAUGGGCAUCUUGGUAUGGUUUCUUUUAUCACCUCAAUGACUGAGCAUUUCUGUGCUGGUUGCAAUAGAUUGCGACUUUUAGCUGAUGGAAACUUUAAAGUAUGCCUCUUUGGUCCUUCAGAGGUUAGCCUAAGAGAUCCCCUUCGUGAAGGUGCUGAAGAACAUGAGCUGAGGGAAAUAAUUGGGGCAGCGGUCAAGAGGAAAAAAGCUUCACAUGCUGGAAUGUUUGACAUUGCAAAAACAGCGAAUAGACCAAUGAUACAUAUAGGCGGCUAAGGCUUGAAUAUUAGGUUUGGGUAUAGCCUUGUGAGGGAGGUGAAUAGGUGCUCUCACAAAUGCAAAUACUCACAACUCAAAAACUACUUACAGCUUCGAAUAGGAUUUCACCAUGACAGUGUUCUUUCAACUAGUUGGAAAACUUUUACGAAAAUCUUAGCCAGCUCACUUGAGCUUUUGCAACUUCCCUUGGGUUUUUACCACCUUCAGAGUUGACAAGGUACUCUCACACUUAUACAGCAUGUGAAUCUUACAAGCCCUAACUUAAAUGCCCUCAAUCCAUCAAGACAUUACCUGUCACCCAGUUCUCUUUCCGUUCAGACUCGUAGUAGAAGGGCUUUCUCUGGUUAGUUUAGUUACUCAAGGCAGUGAAACAUAUGUGCUUAAAUGAGAUUAAACAUGUAUCGUUUAUGUUUCCAUUUAUCCUGUCUUUAUGACAUAGGACUGCUUUAGCUUAUGAAGAUGCUGCGAAAAGUAUGACAACUGAUUGCCCUUCUAAAAGUCCACCUUGAACACUCAAUUUGAAGCUAAAAUGGAUUGUCAAUUUUAAAAAACA